rnacentral:rRNA from 1 species
UACGUAGGGUGCAAGCGUUAAUCGGAAUUACGGGGCGUAAAGCGUGCGCAGGCGGCUUUGCAAGACAGAUGUGAAAUCCCCGGGCUUAACCUGGGAACUGCAUUUGUGACUGCAUGGCUGGAGUGCGGCAGAGGGGGAUGGAAUUGCCGCGUGUAGCAGUGAAAUGCGUAGAGAUGUGGAGGAACACCGAUGGCGGAAGGCAGCCCCCUGGGUCAAGAUUGACGCUCAUGCACGAAAGCGUGGGGAGCAAACAGGA